rnacentral:rRNA from 1 species
CGGAACGGGUGAGUAAUGCGUGACCAACCUGCCCCAUGCUCCAGAAUAGCUCUUGGAAACGGGUGGUAAUGCUGGAUGCUCCAACUUGACGCAUGUCUUGUUGGGAAAGUGUUUAGUGGCAUGGGAUGGGGUCGCGUCCUAUCAGCUUGUAGGCGGGGUAAUGGCCCACCUAGGCUUCGACGGGUAGCCGGCCUGAGAGGGCGGACGGCCACAUUGGGACUGAGAUACGGCCCAGACUCCUACGGGAGGCAGCAGACG